rnacentral:rRNA from 1 species
UACAGAGGGUGCGAGCGUUAAUCGGAAUUACUGGGCGUAAAGCGUGCGCAGGCGGCUUUGCAAGACAGAUGUGAAAUCCCCGGGCUCAACCUGGGAAUGGCAUUUGAUACUGGGUGUCUAGAGUAUGUUAGAGGGAAGUGGAAUUUCCGGUGUAGCGGUGAAAUGCGUAGAUAUCGGAAGGAACAUCAGUGGCGAAGGCGACUUCCUGGAAUAAUACUGACACUGAGGAGCGAAGCGUGGGGAGCGAACAGG